rnacentral:snRNA from 1 species
CAGUGUACUAUACAUUUA